rnacentral:lncRNA from 1 species
GUCUUGACCUCAUAGGACCUCAGGGAGGAAUCACAGGUACGGUCUAACAAGGGUCUAUCUCUGGUCAACUCUCCAAAGGGGAGGCGUGCUUGAGAAGGUAUGCAAUGAAGGGUUCUUACCUUUCUUGAGGUCAGGAGCUACGAGCUGAGAUCCAAUGGAGGAACCAGUCACUCAAGGAGAGGAGACCCUUUGGAUACCACCCUCAGCCCUGUGGCAGACAGACUCCCUCCCUAAAGGGGGUAAAGGAAAGAAAGUACAUCUCACAUUUGACAGCUACUACUACGAAACAAGCAUCCAGGAAAACUUAGUGCUCUCAACCUGAAGCCACUGUUUAUUAUGUUUGCUGAUUGGGCUGAGCUCAGCAAGACUCUUCUCUCAGCUAAUAGAUACAGGCUGGGCUCCAUUCUGUGUCCUGAGGCCCGAGUCACAGCUGUGGAGUAAAGAGACUUGCGGCCAAUGCCGGCCACCUGAAUCGAUGCCCCAAGAUCCACACACACAAAUAGAUAGAUAGAUAAAUAGAUAGAUAGAUAGAUAGAUAGAUAGAUAGAUAGAUAGAUAGAUAGAUAGAUAGAUAGAUAGAUAAAUGUAAUUUUAAAAAUAUAUAGUGGUAGAGGACAAAUGGUUGUGUGCCUCGUCUCUUAUAACCUGGGCUGGGAACUGCUCUGCUGCCCUUCUUGCCCAGCUUCGAUUGGCCGAAGCAGAUCACAUGAUCAACCUUGACCGGAAACGUCCGGGAGAACAAGGCACCGGAGCAUGGAUCGUUUUUUGGGUUGCCUGGGAUACCUGUGACCCUGUCGCUUCAAAGCAUCGGCCUCCUCAUUUGAACACAGGCACUGAAGGAUCUCAGAUAAAAUGAUAACCUGUUCCAUUUUUGCAUCGAAGCAACUCACCCGGGACAGGUACCAAUGAGCCAAGACCCGCCAUGGGCAAAGAAAACUCAGGACGGUCAACCUGGAAGGAACCCUUCCUCCCAUGAGCUUCCAGAAUGGUGUGCAGUGUUCGGGACUUAGAAUGUACUCAGCAAACACUUGUGGAAACCCGGGUUUUCCAGCACUUACACCAAGCUUCGUUUCUAUCAUCUCAAAAUAGGAAAAUUCAAGGAGAGAGACUCAAUGCAUCUUCAGCAGGAGCCCUUCAGAUGACUGUGCCACCAAAGCUGCGAUUACCCCGAGAGGACAGCUCCAGCUUUGUGAGCUAUUCUGAGUACCACAGGCUCUCCCUCUCUGGUCACCCUAACCACUUUUGAGAGUCAUACAACCCUUACCAUUGGGUCCAUGAGCCAGCUGGGUGUCUGGCAAAGAGGUAGGGGAAAGCUAACAGACAGGAGAGAGGAGGAAGUGGGGGGG